rnacentral:rRNA from 1 species
AGCAGCCGCGGUAAUUCCAGCUCCAAUAGCGUAUAUUAAAGUUGUUGCAGUUAAAAAGCUCGUAGUUGAACUUCGGGGUUUACCCAUUGGUCAGGCUUAAUUGUCUGUACUGGUGAGAUAAAUCUCUACCUUCUGAGGAACUUUCAUGUCAUUAAUGUGGUGUGAUUGGAAAUCAGGACUGUUACUUUGAAAAAUUAGAGUGUUUAAAGCAGGCUAACGUCUGAAUACAUUAGCAUGGAAUAAUGAAAUAGGACGGACUGAUUCUAUUUCGUUGGUUUCUAGGAUCACCGUAAUGAUUAAUAGGGAUAGUUGGGGGCAUUAGUAUUCAAUUGUCAGAGGUGAAAUUCUUGGAUUUAUUGAAGACUAACUACUGCGAAAGCAUUUGCCAAGGAUGUUUUCAUUAAUCAAGAACGAAAGUUAGGGGAUCGAAGACGAUCAGAUACCGUCGUAGUCUUAACCAUAAACUAUGCCGACUAGGGAUCGGACGAAGUUAAUUUAUAAUGACGCGUUCGGCACCUUA